GGGUUGUGAGGUUAAGCGACUAAGCGUACACGGUGGAUGCCCUGGCAGUCAGAGGCGAUGAAGGACGUGCUAAUCUGCGAAAAGCGCCGGCGAGGUGAUAUGAACCCUUGACCCGGCGAUGUCCGAAUGGGGAAACCCAGUGCAAUUCGUUGCACUAUCGUUAACUGAAUACAUAGGUUAACGAGGCGAACCGGGGGAACUGAAACAUCUAAGUACCCCGAGGAAAAGAAAUCAACCGAGAUUCCCCCAGUAGCGGCGAGCGAACGGGGAGCAGCCCGGAGUCUGAAUCAGCUUGUGUGUUAGUGGAACGGUCUGGAAAGUCCGACGGUACAGGGUGAUAGUCCCGUACACGAAAGCACACAUGCUGUGAACUCGAAGAGUAGGGCGGGACACGUGGUAUCCUGUCUGAAUAUGGGGGGACCAUCCUCCAAGGCUAAAUACUCCUGACUGACCGAUAGUGAACCAGUACCGUGAGGGAAAGGCGAAAAGAACCCCGGCGAGGGGAGUGAAAAAGAACCUGAAACCGUGUACGUACAAGCAGUGGGAGCCUCUUUAUGGGGUGACUGCGUACCUUUUGUAUAAUGGGUCAGCGACUUAUAUUCUGUAGCAAGGUUAACCGUAUAGGGGAGCCGAAGGGAAACCGAGUCUUAACUGGGCGUUAAGUUGCAGGGUAUAGACCCGAAACCCGGUGAUCUAGCCAUGGGCAGGUUGAAGGUUGGGUAACACUAACUGGAGGACCGAACCGACUAAUGUUGAAAAAUUAGCGGAUGACCUGUGGCUGGGGGUGAAAGGCCAAUCAAACCGGGAGAUAGCUGGUUCUCCCCGAAAGCUAUUUAGGUAGCGCCUCGUGAACUCAUCUUCGGGGGUAGAGCACUGUUUCGGCUAGGGGGCCAUCCCGGCUUACCAACCCGAUGCAAACUACGAAUACCGAAGAAUGUUAUCACGGGAGACACACGGCGGGUGCUAACGUCCGUCGUGAAGAGGGAAACAACCCAGACCGCCAGCUAAGGUCCCAAAGUCAUGGUUAAGUGGGAAACGAUGUGGGAAGGCACAGACAGCCAGGAUGUUGGCUUAGAAGCAGCCAUCAUUUAAAGAAAGCGUAAUAGCUCACUGGUCGAGUCGGCCUGCGCGGAAGAUGUAACGGGGCUAAACCAUGCACCGAAGCUGCGGCAGCGACACUAUGUGUUGUUGGGUAGGGGAGCGUUCUGUAAGCCGUUGAAGGUGUGCUGUGAGGCAUGCUGGAGGUAUCAGAAGUGCGAAUGCUGACAUAAGUAACGAUAAAGCGGGUGAAAAGCCCGCUCGCCGGAAGACCAAGGGUUCCUGUCCAACGUUAAUCGGGGCAGGGUGAGUCGACCCCUAAGGCGAGGCCGAAAGGCGUAGUCGAUGGGAAACAGGUUAAUAUUCCUGUACUUGGUGUUACUGCGAAGGGGGGACGGAGAAGGCUAUGUCAGCCGGGCGACGGUUGUCCCGGUUUAAGCAUGUAGGCGGAGGUUCCAGGUAAAUCCGGUACCUUUUAACGCUGAGGUGUGAUGACGAGGCACUACGGUGCUGAAGUGAUAAAUGCCCUGCUUCCAGGAAAAGCCUCUAAGCAUCAGGUAACACGAAAUCGUACCCCAAACCGACACAGGUGGUCAGGUAGAGAAUACCAAGGCGCUUGAGAGAACUCGGGUGAAGGAACUAGGCAAAAUGGUGCCGUAACUUCGGGAGAAGGCACGCUGAUGUGUAGGUGAAGCCCCUGCGGGCGGAGCUGAAAUCAGUCGAAGAUACCAGCUGGCUGCAACUGUUUAUUAAAAACACAGCACUGUGCAAACACGAAAGUGGACGUAUACGGUGUGACGCCUGCCCGGUGCCGGAAGGUUAAUUGAUGGGGUUAGCGGCAACGCGAAGCUCUUGAUCGAAGCCCCGGUAAACGGCGGCCGUAACUAUAACGGUCCUAAGGUAGCGAAAUUCCUUGUCGGGUAAGUUCCGACCUGCACGAAUGGCGUAAUGAUGGCCAGGCUGUCUCCACCCGAGACUCAGUGAAAUUGAACUCGCUGUGAAGAUGCAGUGUACCCGCGGCAAGACGGAAAGACCCCGUGAACCUUUACUAUAGCUUGACACUGAACACUGGUCCUUGAUGUGUAGGAUAGGUGGGAGGCUUUGAAGCGUGGACGCCAGUCUGCGUGGAGCC
rnacentral:rRNA from 1 species